GAUGAACGCUGGCGGCGUGCCUAAUACAUGCAAGUCGAGCGAACAGAUGAGGAGCUUGCUCCUCUGACGUUAGCGGCGGACGGGUGAGUAACACGUGGAUAACCUACCUAUAAGACUGGGAUAACUUCGGGAAACCGGAGCUAAUACCGGAUAAUAUAUUGAACCGCAUGGUUCAAUAGUGAAAGACGGUUUUGCUGUCACUUAUAGAUGGAUCCGCGCCGCAUUAGCUAGUUGGUAAGGUAACGGCUUACCAAGGCAACGAUGCGUAGCCGACCUGAGAGGGUGAUCGGCCACACUGGAACUGAGACACGGUCCAGACUCCUACGGGAGGCAGCAGUAGGGAAUCUUCCGCAAUGGGCGAAAGCCUGACGGAGCAACGCCGCGUGAGUGAUGAAGGUCUCCGGAUCGUAAAACUCUGUUAUUAGGGAAGUACAAAUGUGUAAGUAACUAUGCACGUCUUGACGGUACCUAAUCAGAAAGCCACGGCUAACUACGUG
rnacentral:rRNA from 1 species